GAUGAACGCUGGCGGCGUGCCUAAUACAUGCAAGUAGAACGCUGAAGGAAGGAGCUUGCUCUUUCCGGAUGAGUUGCGAACGGGUGAGUAACGCGUAGGUAACCUGCCUGGUAGCGGGGGAUAACUAUUGGAAACGAUAGCUAAUACCGCAUAACAGUAGAUGUUGCAUGAUAUCUACUUAAAAGGUGCAAUUGCACCACUACCAGAUGGACCUGCGUUGUAUUAGCUAGUUGGUGAGGUAACGGCUCACCAAGGCGACGAUACAUAGCCGACCUGAGAGGGUGAUCGGCCACACUGGGACUGAGACACGGCCCAGACUCCUACGGGAGGCAGCAGUAGGGAAUCUUCGGCAAUGGACGGAAGUCUGACCGAGCAACGCCGCGUGAGUGAAGAAGGUUUUCGGAUCGUAAAGCUCUGUUGUAAGAGAAGAACGAGUGUGAGAGUGGAAAGUUCACGCUGUGACGGUAUCUUACCAGAAAGGGACGGCUAACUACGUG
rnacentral:rRNA from 1 species